rnacentral:rRNA from 1 species
UCGACGGUACAGGUCUUCGGACGCUGACGAGUGGCGAACGGGUGAGUAAUACAUCGGAACGUGCCCAGUCGUGGGGGAUAACUACUCGAAAGAGUAGCUAAUACCGCAUACGAUCUGAGGAUGAAAGCGGGGGACCUUCGGGCCUCGCGCGAUUGGAGCGGCCGAUGGCAGAUUAGGUAGUUGGUGGGAUAAAAGCUUACCAAGCCGACGAUCUGUAGCUGGUCUGAGAGGACGACCAGCCACACUGGGACUGAGACACGGCCCAGACUCCUACGGGAGGCAGCAGUGGGGAAUUUUGGACAAUGGGCGAAAGCCUGAUCCAGCAAUGCCGCGUGCAGGAUGAAGGCCUUCGGGUUGUAAACUGCUUUUGUACGGAACGAAAAAGCUUCUCCUAAUACGAGAGGCCCAUGACGGUACCGUAAGAAUAAGCACCGGCUAACUACGUGCCAGCAGCCGCGGUAAUACGU